GAGCAGCGCGAGAAAGCUGAAGGUGAUGUCGCCGCCCUCAACCGACGCAUCCAGCUCUUUGAGGAGGAGUUGGACAGGGCUCAGGAACGACUGGCCACGGCCCUGCAGAAGCUGGAGGAGGCGGAAAAGGCUGCAGAUGAGAGUGGGAGAGGAAUGAAGGUCAUAGAAAACCGGGCCAUGAAGGAUGAGAAGAAGAUGGAAAUUCAGGAGAUGCAGCUCAAAGAGGCCAAGCACAUUGCGGAAGAGGCUGAUCGCCAACACGAGGAGGUAGCUCGUAAGCUGGUCAUCCUGGAGGGUGAGCUGGAGAGGGCAGAGGAGCCUGCAGAGGUGUCUGAACUAAAAUGUGGUGACCUGGCAGAAGAACUCAAGAAUGUUACUCACAACCUGAAAUCUCUGGAGGCUGCAUCUGAAAAGUAUUCUGAAAAGGAGGACAAAUAUGAAGAAGAAAUUAAACUUCUGUCUGACAAACUGAAAGAAGCUGAGACCCGUGCUGAAUUUGCAGAGAGAAUGGUUGCAAAACUGGAAAAGACAAUUGAUGACCUGGAAGAGAAACUUGCCCAGGCCAAAGAAGAGAACGUGGGCUUACAUCAGACACUGGAUCAGACACUAAACGAACUUAACUGUAUACAAGCAAAACAGAAGAGUCUUGUUCCAACAGAAACUCCGGAGCUCCGUGGGUCUUUCUUUUCUCUUGUAUGAAGUUCCUUUUGUUAUUGCCAUCUUCACUUUGCUGGAAAUGUCAAGCAAAUUAUGAAUACAUGACCAAAUAUUUUGUAUUGAAGAA